GACGUAGGGCGCGAGCGUUGUCCGGAUUUAUUGGGCGUAAAGAGCUCGUAGGCGGCCUGUCGCGUCGACUGUGAAAACCCGCAGCUCAACUGCGGGACUGCAGUCGAUACGGGCAGGCUAGAGUUCGGUAGGGGAGACUGGAAUUCCUGGUGUAGCGGUGAAAUGCGCAGAUAUCAGGAGGAACACCGGUGGCGAAGGCGGGUCUCUGGGCCGUUACUGACGCUGAGGAGCGAAAGCGUGGGGAGCGAACAGG
rnacentral:rRNA from 1 species